AAUCAUAGAAUAAUAAGCACUACACCAUGAUUUAAGAUUAGCUUCACGAGACCUAUUAAGAAUAGAAUUUCUUGUAGGCUUUGUGACCAGGGGGAUUAGCGCUGCUUUCCCAAGACAGGUUUUUAUGUGUAUGAUCUUCAGGCUUUGCCUAUCCAGGUUGGCUGGCCGGUGCUGACGGGACGGAGCUGAGGCUAGAGUUAAAUUCCUAUGUUAGACUUCCGCUGUAGCAAUUACUCAUAUCAAUCUUUUGUUUUCCCAACUUAAGAUCUUCAUGUUAAAUUUCAAAUGAUAUACCUGACCGAGCUUAGACUCUUCACUACUAAAUUUAUGCCAAUGAAUGUCGGUUGUCAGAAGCAUGAAACAAAACUUGUGAUCCAAAGGGGCAUAGCCCGACUUUCUAUCCUAUUUCGGGUUUUAACAAGGUAUUUCCCUUGUUUAUUU